ensembl:lncRNA
AAUCCAGAUGGGAUGGCACCUGUACAUGUGCACUAUAUUAAUUUUUACUUUUUAAACUUUUUUGUUAUCAGCUAAUAGAGAAACGCACACACUAGCCUGGGCCUAUACAAGGCCAGGGUCAUCAGUGCCUCCUUCCUCACAUCUUGUCCCCCGAGAUCUUCAGGGACAGUGACACAGCUCCUGCAGUAAUGGUGUCUUCUCCUGCAGUCCCUCCUGAAGGACCUGACACAUUUGACAGUGAACUUUCUUUUAUUUUAAGUCCCCGGCCCUCCCUCUUUACAUUUCCCAGGACCUCUGCUCCUUCAGCUCCUCCUCAGGGGACUGCGCCUCCCAGCUUGCCCAAGCCAGCCCGUUUCUUUUUCCUCGGUGCCUCACUGGUGUAGAUGUCACCUCUCAGCCGAUGUUUUGUUCCAGUCCUGGCAUUUCCUUCAUUCCAAGUCAUCUUGGCCAUCUGACCCGCACUCCACAUUCCAUCGGUCCACUCUUGCAUCCCGGCGUUCCUGAAUUUGAUGUAAUGGGUGAAGAGAGCCAAGCAACCACAAAGCCUUGGAAGGUGGCCUGGGGCUGCAUUACUUGGCGACCUUUUGGGGUGGCUGUGGCCGUUGGAAGUCCGUCCCGCUCUUGUCCAGCCCCUGUGUCCUCCUCACGCUCUCAGACACACUACACACUGUGUGAAGCGGCGGCUGGCCAGGUGCUGAGUCCCAGACGAACAAUGUUUUAAGGGGUGCUCUGCACUAAGGAAAUUGUCAGUGAUGCUAAUUGCCCAGGUUCCUUUGACUUCCUUAGUAACUCUGAAAAUGUCUACAUGUAACUUGUUCCUGUGAGUGAUGUCACCAGCUCUUGUGAUUUCCUGUCCUCUUAACAGCACAAAAGCCAACCUGGAACGUCGUCCGUUCUGAGGAUCAAACUCACUGAACCAUAGACAGCAGUGUCCCUCUUUUUCCAGUUGGCAGUCCCAGCUGCCUGCCUGACACAGGGUCCUUCGAGACCAGCCCGUGCAGUCUCAGGUCCUGGGGCUCAGAUGCCCCAAAUCGCCCAGGCAGUGUGGCCUUCCUGUCCUCCCCCAUCUUGGACUCUAGCUCAUCAGUCUGUUGAUCCUGCUCUGUGUAAUAGGAAAAAAUGUGCUUCUUGAUGGGUUCAGUGUGAAAUACGAUUGGGUAGUUUCAUUGUCUGUGUUUAUCACAAGAAUCUUCUGUAUAUUCAGUUUAUAAAUAAUUUAAGAGCUCCAUGUCAAAGCCUUGAUCUCACUGUCCUUAAUUUUGUAGGAAUGUAAAUAAUAAAAGAGCAAAAAAAGAGGAAAAAAAGAAUCUCGAUGUUUCUGACUGCAUUUAUGGGUUUAUUAGACAAGUGUAGGGAGCAUACGUACAGCGGUACUUGGGGUAGCAGGUCUUAGGGGCUUUGCGUUGAUAAUGAAUGCCAGUGGGUCUUGAAUACCAUGUGGCCUUUUUGGAACUAUAUAUGAUAAGGUUUUCCAUUGUAUAUGAAGGUCAGGAGACUAUAAAAACACAAAACUUGGAAAUUAACAUCCGACUGUUACGCUAUGAUUCAGGA